rnacentral:rRNA from 1 species
UACGUAGGGAGCAAGCGUUGUCCGGAAUCAUUGGGCGUAAAGAGCUCGUAGGCGGCUUGUCGCGUCGUUCGUGAAAACCUGCAGCUCAACUGCAGGCUUGCGGUCGAUACGGGCAGGCUAGAGUUCGGUAGGGGAGACUGGAAUUCCUGGUGUAGCGGUGAAAUGCGCAGAUAUCAGGAGGAACACCGGUGGCGAAGGCGGCAACCUGGUCCUUGACUGACGCUGAGGCGCGAAAGCGUGGGGAGCAAACAGG